UGGCGAUUUACUAAGGCCAGAUAUGUUGACUCUUCUGCUUCCUAAAAGCUUAUUUGGAUACAUAUGUACAGAAAUGUGUAGACAGAAACAGACAGAAAGACAGAAACAUCUAGGCAGGCAGCAAUAAAUACAAAUACAUCAAGAAGUAGAACAGCAUUAAGUUACUUGCCUAGGGUUACAAAGUUUAUGCAUGGGACCAGAUUUGAACUCAAGUCUGCCUAACUCCAGUUCCAGUACAUCACCAAAUGAAAUUGGACAAAGGAAAGGAGUCAACUGAAGGGGUCAAAUGAUCACAGCCAGCAUGAUGCAACCAGAAAAGAGCUAGAUUUGAAAUAGACUCAUAUUCAAACCCUGCCUCUGGUAUGUAUGUACUACUUACAAAAUUGGGAACUUUGCUCAACACAAUAACGGAUCACAGUUCCAAAGGACCCAUGAGGAGAAAUGGCUGCCCACCUCCAGAUAGAGAGCUGAUGGACACAAAGUACACGCCGAGACAUCUUUUUUCAGGCACAGUUAAUAAAGGAUUGGGGUUUUUUUUGCCAUAGGUGUCUGUAACAGAGAUUUUGUUCUUCUUGAUUUCCAAAAUGGGAAGGAGAGAGAAUUCAGAAGGGAGAUAAUUCAUACCUGAAAAUAAAAUUAAACUUUGGUUUUUUAAAAGAAAGAUC
rnacentral:lncRNA from 1 species